UGGGGCGUCGCCAAGCGGUAAGGCAGCGGUUUUUGGUACCGCCAUUCGGAGGUUCGAUCCCUCCCGCCCCAGCCA
rnacentral:tRNA from 1 species